CAGCAAAAUUAUGCACAAGGCUAUACGAUAAUGACAAAGGAGCUGAUCCCAUAGUCAAAUUUAAGUUAUGGUAUAAUUUAACAGCUAUCUCACGAACAAAUGGUAAAACAUCCUGCAAUGAUAUGAACUUCUUUGUAUCAGCCUCGCAUCUUGCGAUUCCUACGAGCGCUAUGAUAUCACGGAGGCUACUCCGACAAAAGAUAUACAAAUCAUCUUCAAUCCCAGCAUCUCUCAAACUCUUACAAAAUUCUAAGAUGAUAGCAUAUG
rnacentral:misc_RNA from 1 species